rnacentral:rRNA from 1 species
GAUGAACGCUGGCGGCGUGCUUAACACAUGCAAGUCGAACGGAAAGGCUCCUGCUUGCAGGGGUACUCGAGUGGCGAACGGGUGAGUAACACGUGGGUGAUCUGCCCUGCACUUCGGGAUAAGCCUGGGAAACUGGGUCUAAUACCGGAUAGGACGAUGGUUUGGAUGCCAUUGUGGAAAGUUUUUUCGGUGUGGGAUGAGCUCGCGGCCUAUCAGCUUGUUGGUGGGGCAAUGGCCUACCAAGGCGUCGACGGGUAGCCGGCCUGAGAGGGUGUACGGCCACAUUGGGACUGAGAUACGGCCCAGACUCCUACGGGAGGCAGCAGUGGGGAAUAUUGCACAAUGGGCGCAAGCCUGAUGCAGCGACGCCGCGUGGGGGAUGACGGCCUUCGGGUUGUAAACUCCUUUCGCUAGGGACGAAGCGCAAGUGACGGUACCUGGAGAAGAAGCACCGGCUAACUACGUG